AGCAGCAGCGAGUCCUCGGCGGCAGCACCUGGAGCGGGAGAGCGGAGGUGCCGCCGCUCCUCAGGCUGCCCUGCGUAGGGAUCGGGCGGGGUGAGCCGUGGGUUACAGGAUGCGCUGUGACUGGCAAAUCCUGCGCUCCCCGGCUGCCCCCACCCGUGCAGCAUCAACGCUUCAGGGUCCGAAGGGAGAGGGCGCAUCACGCCUAACUGCGCUAGCAGAUCCCAACAUCCAUCUUGUUGAGCCACGAGAAAAUAAAUCACCCUUGCCCCUUCCUUGGACCUUGCGUGACCAAACCACUUUCAUCUCUCUGACACCACAGGACCCUUCACCAGUAAAACCAGUUUUCCCAUCAAGUACCUUGUCACAAAACCCCUCCUUUAGUCGGGUGACAAGACAUGAAAGUGUCUUCGCCGUUCUCAUAAAACCGCCACCAUCACGUUUUACUUCUCCAGCUUUUGUCCAUGUCUCUCUAAGCAUCCACACUUAGUCCUUGCCAGCUGCGAGGUACAAAAGACUUAACUUCUUACUUCAGAAAUCAAAUACUAAUUGUUUUCCAGGAUCAAGUUUGAAGGGCACAGAGGUUUACAAGUGCCCACAGAUCUGUUUAGCCAGCUGCCUGUACAAACAAGUGUAACAAGUCACAGUUGUUCCAACCACUUUGGGUGCCUUCUACUAAGAGAUGGGCAGAGAUCUCAAACCAGUAUGGUUGUGUUAAUAAAUGACAACAAAUAAAAUG